rnacentral:rRNA from 1 species
GGGGGGAGCCCUAGCACAGGUGCUGCAUGGCCGUCGUCAGCUCGUGCCGUGAGGUGUUGGGUUAAGUCCCGCAACGAGCGCAACCCCGCCGUUAGUUGCCAGCGGUUCGGCCGGGCACUCUAACGGGACUGCCCGCGAAAGCGGGAGGAAGGAGGGGACGACGUCUGGUCAGCAUGGCCCUUACGGCCUGGGCGACACACGUGCUACAAUGCCCACUACAAAGCGAUGCCACCCGGCAACGGGAGCUAAUCGCAAAAAGGUGGGCCCAGUUCGGAUUGGGGUCUGCAACCCGACCCCAUGAAGCCGGAAUCGCUAGUAAUCGCGGAUCAGCCAUGCCGCGGUGAAUACGUUCCCGGGCCUU